rnacentral:rRNA from 1 species
AGUGAACGCUGGCGGUAGGCCUAACACAUGCAAGUCGAACGGCAGCACAGUAAGAGCUUGCUCUUACGGGUGGCGAGUGGCGGACGGGUGAGGAAUACAUCGGAAUCUACUUUUUCGUGGGGGAUAACGUAGGGAAACUUACGCUAAUACCGCAUACGACCUACGGGUGAAAGCAGGGGAUCUUCGGACCUUGCGCGAUUGAAUGAGCCGAUGUCGGAUUAGCUAGUUGGCGGGGUAAAGGCCCACCAAGGCGACGAUCCGUAGCUGGUCUGAGAGGAUGACCAGCGGGACGGGAACGUAGAAACGGUCCAGACUCGUACGGGAGGCAGCAGUGGGGAAUAUUGGACAAUGGGAGAAAGCCUGAUCCAGCCAUACCGCGUGGGUGAAAAAGGCCUUCGGGUGGUAAAGCCCUUUUGUUGGGAACGAAAAGCAGCAAGUUAAUACCCCGCUGUUCUGACGGUACCCAAAGAAUAAGCACCGGCUAACUUCGUG